GCGAGUGAACGGCAAAAGCUCAAAUUUGAAAUCUAGUACCUUCGGUGCUCGAGUUGUAAUUUGAAGAUGGUAACUUUGGAGUUGGCCCUUGUCUAUGUUCCUUGGAACAGGACGUCACAGAGGGUGAGAAUCCCGUCUGACGAGGUGAUCCAACUCUAUGUAAAGUGCUAUCGAAGAGUCGAGUUGUUUGGGAAUGCAGCUCUAAGUGGGUGGUAAAUUCCAUCUAAAGCUAAAUAUUGGCGAGAGACCGAUAGCGAACAAGUACAGUGAUGGAAAGAUGAAAAGAACUUUGAAAAGAGAGUGAAAAAGUACGUGAAAUUGUUGAAAGGGAAGGGUAUUAGAUCAGACUUGGCGUUUUAUGAUUAUCUUCUCUUCUUGAGUUGUGCACUCGUAUUGCGCUGGGCCAGCAUCGAUUCGGAUGGCAGGAUAAUGGCAAUUGAAUGUGGCAUCCACUUCGGUGUAUGUGUUAUAGCUUUUGUUGAUGCUGCCUAUCUGGAUCGAGGACUGCGUCUUUUGACUAGGAUGUUGGCGUAAUGAUCUAAUAUCGCCCGUCUUGCAACACGGA
rnacentral:rRNA from 1 species